rnacentral:rRNA from 1 species
GACAGAGGCCUCGAGCGUUAGGCGGAAUCACUGGGCUUAAAGCGUGUGUAGGCGGACUGGUAAGUACCUUGUGAAAUCCCACGGCUCAACCGUGGAACUGCUUGGUAUACUGCUUGUCUUGUGCAACCUAGGGGCGAGCGGAACAGAUGGUGGAGCGGUGAAAUGCGUAGAUAUCAUCUGGAACGCCAAUGGUGAAAACAGCUCGCUGGGGGUUUGCAGACGCUGAGACACGAAAGCCAGGGGAGCAAACGGG